AAACAACUUCGAGCGGUUUGGACGCGUCGCGGUCGGUUUUCGCGUCGUUGUGUUAUAUUUUCAAACAAAUGGCCGCCGACGCGUAUGUUUCGGCAAAAUCAAGUGUUAAAUGUUUUAUAAAUGUAAAUGUGUAUCAACGUUUGAUCAGUGUGCGCCAGCCGAGUGCAGCGUUUAAUUUUUAAUGUUUGAAAAUUGUAAAUGAAACAGCGGUAAAUAACAAAGCACCGUUUGCAUAAAUGUGCAAGUGUGUGUUCGAGUCAUUUUGUGUGUGCGUGUAUUAAAAGUCCGACAAAGUGCAUGUGCACGGAAAUAAAGUGCCGCAAACGCCAAGUAAAACAGAUGAAAUAAUAUUUUGCAAUGUCUGCGAGUAAAUUGCAAACGCAUCAAGCUGAUAAAUGUGCUAAAAUUAAAGCAUAAAACAACCCGAGCAACUAGCAGGUAUCGAUACACACACACACACAUACAUAGAGAAAGAAAAAAAAACCGACGGCGAAUGCAGUGCGUGUGCAAUUGUGUGUGUGAGGGCGACAAAUUCGCUCUGUGCAUAUGUGUGCGCGAGUAAAGGAAAAGAAGAAGCAAACCUGCGUUUGCGUUUGCCUUUGCAUUUGAUUUUGCGCUUUACAUGUGCGCCCGUUCCGGGGUUCAAAUUCCAAUUGGAAUUCACAAGUUGCGCAUGCGUCGCCGCAUUCUUAAAAAUCUCGUGUAGUGUAUAUUUUUUGUGUAUGUGUUUUGCAAUAAAUCUUCAUUCAGCCACUCAACGCCAAGCGGCAGCUGCUGCAACAACAACAACAACGCGAAGGUAUGUAAAUCCUAAAACUCAUAACCAAAUAUUAUGCUAAGGAAUCACUGCAUCAAAAACUGUUACAAUUUGUAAGAAAAGCACAGUUCAAAGAACAUUUUCGUGAAAAAUGGGUCGCCUGAGUUCUUGAUAUUUGACACACCUUGUUGGAAAGUGAAUUGAAAGGCAACAUUUCGAUUCGAGUGGAGCCAACAACAACAACAGCAACAACAACAACGAGAGCCACAUUUUGGUCAGUUUUCACACUUGGAAGUUUCUUGAAACAAACAAUUAAAUUGUGAUUUUUACUUUUUAUCAAAA